UCGAAGCUCUGGAAAAAAAAAACGAGAGAGAGUGGGGAAGAGUGAGGAGAUGAUGUUAAGGACGCGAUGCUAUGGUUCGGCGCAGGGUUUUAUGUGGUAGGAGCUGUGAGAGAUUCGUGGACCGAUCGACACGUUCUCUUUUCCGAUACGAAGCAGAAAUUUGCUGCUUUGGAAGCCGGAAUGUUGAACCUCGAGGCAUCUAUCUCUAAUCCGAAAUCGGAUUCCGGUCAGACCGAAUUACGAUUCCUGAUGCUCGGAAACAAAAAGAAAAAGUAUAUUACCCGGCGUGACUCGCGAGAAGCUGCUGGACAAGCAAACUUAAGCACAGAUAUUAUCUACAAAUGAGUUAAUCAUAAUGUCACUUUGAGAGCUCUGUAAGAUAUUUCUAUCCAAGGCGGAAGGCUAGCUCUAUUUCAAGCAAAGAUCCAUAUUUCAGACAAGGAAAAGAGGACGACUAAACAAGAUUUAUUAUCAACUUGGAUGACUCGAUUGUUGGGUUUCUUAUAAUUAGUUGUGGAAUUUUUUAUACAGAAAUCUCAAGAUACUCUAGAUGAUGCACAACUCUCGACUUGCCUGUCUUAUUAAUAAUGUCUUGCUGCCUUGGAACAAGGAAAAGUCAGAGAAAUUUGGCUGCGUUUGUUUUGAUGUAAGAGAAGGAAAAUAAGAAAAUAUUUUCGUACAAAACGAGUGAUUUUUAGAAGUUAA